ensembl:lncRNA
CUUAUUUGGCCUUGACUCGUGCAUCCAUGAGGAUAUGCAAAAGAACAGCAGACUUGGCAAAAUUCCAUCUUUCCCCUCCAAUCAAGACAGCAUUACUAAUAAACAUUUGACUAAAACAUUUUUAAAACUAAUCAGUGUUUAAUUAAACAUGUCUAUGUUUGUGUGCAUGUUUAUAUAUGUGUAUAAACCUGGUUGCUGUUGUAUUGCAAUAAAGAUUAGGUGCUGCUGAACGCAGCUUUUGUCUGGACACACACACACACACACACACACACACACACACACAAUUGACACUUAUUCUUUCUUCCAGACAUAUUUUUUGAAAUGUGAACAUCCUGUCAAAACGUGCAGAUUGCAGCAUGCACAAAAAUAUAAACUUCUGUCUUUAUUAAAUAUUAUGUUUCCCUCUCUGUGCAUACAUACAGACUUACUGUAACACUAUUUUUAUGUUGUUUUGGUGUCUAGCAGCACGGAGAUGGUCAGAACAUCCUUGAAUAUUUUUUAUUUUUUAAUUUUUUUUAUGGCUAAGGAUGAAAGAGAUUAGUUGAAAAUUAAAGGCUUUCAUAUUUACUCUGCUGGUGUUUUUCUCUUGUCGUGCCGCUCUAUAAACCCAAGCGCUUUGCAGAACCUUUCUUUAGAAGUUCGUAAGCCUCUGCCUCUAUAUGUGUGUGUGUGUGUGUUUUUGCAAUCAGAGUCUGUACUGUGGCUUAUUGGUUUAGUGUAAUUUGGGAGUAGCUCUAUUAAAAGAGAUGCUUUUGUUUACACAACAUUUUGACAGCGUUCCCCUGCCCCUCCCAGAACAUUAUGGUUAGAGUGUGGGAUACAGGCUUCGUAUAGCUGCACGAAGACAGGCUUGAAGAAAGUGACCACACGACCAUCCCUCUGACCAUACUUAGACACGGUCAUGGUCUAGAGAGGAAGGAUAGACUCUGUAUACCUUGCUGGAGGACACACCUUGCGAACAGUAACUGAAUGUACAUUGGCUAACAGCCGUCCUCUUAAAACAAACACAGAUGGACAGCUCCUUACUAAGAACUCUCUGUCUCUGCUUCCUUCACAUGUACACACACUCCUCCGAAUUACGACUCUGGUGACACUUGGUGAUGGGCUAAUCAGCCUUCAGGAGACACAUGACAGCUUUAUGACCAGAAAAAUCAACACACACAAUGACAGAAACACAAACCACACACACACACUUGUACAGAUACAUAAGCUGAAAUACCUGAUCAGACAGCCUGUAAUUACCACACACUUGCAUUUCUGGUUUUUGUUGAAGAAAUGACAGCAGUUUGAGAUGUCUGCAGGUCAAAGAAUCAAAACAUACAAGAGAGAAGGUCUUGGUUUGGGGGUAUAAUAUUACAGUUAAAACUGAAUAAUUGUAAAUCAUGCUUCUAUAGGAGUGUUCCGCAUUGUGCUUUUAUUUCCAACAGCAUGUGGUUUGUCAGAGAAUUAGUCAGUGACAUGAAAUGAAACAUUUUUGCACGUUAGGUAUAUUUUGUUUAUUUUAGUUACCCACCUUAAAUGCUGAACUGCUUUCUUUACUGCACAAUAUGGGCUGAGGGGCAUGCAAUAAUGAUCUGUGUUGACAGUUAUAAACGCUGUUCUAUGACAGGAUCAGUCUAUGGACAGGAUAUGUUACAUUUUUAAAACAUAAUCAGUGUGCAGAUUAUUUAACCCUCUGUGGUAUAGAAUUGCCAUAUGGCAACAAUUAAUUUUACACUUAUUUCCUUGUUAUUCUGAAAAAGAUAUCUGUAGCAAUAUGGUAAUUAAAAUGGGCGGCCUUAAGGUGCUGUUUUUAAGUCAAAUGACAUUUGAAUGUUCUUUCAAAACACUUUUUCCCACUUUCACCCUCACAUGGAGGACACCUGAUGAAGUGCUCCAGAAAUUGCUCUGUUAACCUCAUUUCUGAACAUCCCUUCUUAAGGGUUUUUUUUUUUUUUUCAUCAUCUUUGGUUAGUAAAUUACAUAUUUUUAUUCAAUAAUCACCAUGGUCUAACAUAGUUUUACUGUAAAUUGAGAAAAUAUCAAUGUUACCAUAUGGCACUACGGAAAAAUAGGCAUGUUGUCACAUGACAACACUGUACAGUGGAAUUGAAGUAAUGUAUUUCCCCAUUGGGAUUUAUUUUUUAUUUAUUAAAUUUUUUUAUAGAAAGUAACAUCAAUAAUAUGAUUGCAGUUAUUUAUUUAUUUGAAGUGUUUAUUGUACAGUAGUAUAGUUGUAUUGAUGCAUGAACAAGAACAUUACAUAUUCUUUUCAGAAAAUUAAUAUGGCAAUAUUCAGUUGAAAUGCUUAUUUCUUUUAGAAACUGAUGCAUCUAAUCUUAAAUUCCAUAAAAAUCUUCCAGUUUCUAAAAGAAAUAAGCAUUUCAACUGAAAAGAAAACCAUAAUUUGAUAGAAAACUACUUUUUUGGCAAUUUCCCAUUUUGGUACACUGAUGCCAUAUGGCAACGGUUUCCUAAAUACCCCUCACAACCUCAACAUUUCAAAAAUCUGUUUUGAUUUGCAUAACUGAAGCUAUUUCAUGUAAUAAAAACUUAUUUGAAUAAUAAUAAUAAUGGUUA